AUGUGUAUAUAUACUAUUUUAGCACUAAUGCCCACUGAAGCUAAGCAGGGUUGAGCCUGGUCAGUACCUGGAUGGGAGACCUCCUGGGAAAACAUCUCUAGGUUAUGUAUGUA
rnacentral:rRNA from 1 species